rnacentral:rRNA from 15 species
AAACCUCUUUUCUUAGGGAAGAACAAAAUGACGGUACCUGAGGAAUAAGCAUCGGCUAACUCCGUGCCAGCAGCCGCGGUAAUACGGAGGAUGCAAGCGUUAUCCGGAAUUAUUGGGCGUAAAGCGUCCGCAGGUGGCAAUUCAAGUCUGCUGUUAAAGGUUCUGGCUCAACCAGAGACAGGCAGUGGAAACUGAAUAGCUAGAGUGCGGUAGGGGCAGAGGGAAUUCCCAGUGUAGCGGUGAAAUGCGUAGAGAUCUGGAGGAAUACCGAUGGCGAAGGCAGCCAUCUGG